rnacentral:rRNA from 1 species
UGGUGGAGUGAUUUGUUUGGUUGAUUCCGUGAACGAACGAGAUCUCGUCCUCUUAAUGGGGGCAGCAUCACUUACGGUCGAUCUCCCCUCCGGGGUGUUCGAUCGAUGCUGGCUCGUCCUUAGAGGAACACCGCAUAUACACCAGUGCGAUGGAGCGAGCCAAUAGCA